UACGGGGGGGGUAAGCGUUGUUCGGAAUUACUGGGCGUAAAGGGCUCGUAGGCGGCCAACUAAGUCAUACGUGAAAUCCCUCAGCUUAACUGGGGAACUGCGUGUGAUACUGGAUGGCUUGGAUUUGGGAGAGGGAUGCGGAAUUCCGGGUGUAGCGGUGGAAUGCGUAGAGAUCCGGAAGAAUACCGGUGGCGAAGGCGGCCUGCUGGGCAGUUACUGACACUGAGGCGCGACAGCGUGGGGAGCAAACAGG
rnacentral:rRNA from 1 species